rnacentral:ribozyme from 11 species
ACAAUGAAAAACAAACAAGAAAAUCAAAAAUCGAAAAAAGGGAAAGAUCGGAACAUCAAUUAUCAUUGUUGACAAAAGCAUCAUCCGUGAUUUCCAUCAUUUCCAUUCUUAUUCUAGCUAUUGUAUGUAAUUUCAAGGAUCUUACUAAAAAUGAUAGAAAGAUC